rnacentral:snRNA from 1 species
AUUUUGAGCUCGAGCACAUACACCCAAAUUGGCAUGAUACAGAGAAGAUUUAGCAUGGCCCCUGAGCAAAAGCUGCUCACAAAAAUCAGUAACCUUUA